UACGUAGGGAGCAAGCGUUGUUCGGAUUUACUGGGCGUAAAGGGCGCGUAGGCGGCAAUUCAAGUCAUCUGUGAAAUCUCCGGGCUUAACUCGGAACGGUCAGAUGAUACUGCUUUGCUAGAGUGCAGAAGGGGCAAUCGGAAUUCUCGGUGUAGCGGUGAAAUGCGUAGAUAUCGAGAGGAACACCAGAGGUGAAGACGGGUUGCUGGGCUGACACUGACGCUGAGGCGCGAAAGCCAGGGGAGCGAACGGG
rnacentral:rRNA from 1 species